UCAACAACGGAUCUCUUGGUUCUGGCAUCGAUGAAGAACGCAGCGAAAUGCGAUAAGUAAUGUGAAUUGCAGAAUUCAGUGAAUCAUCGAAUCUUUGAACGCACAUUGCGCCCCUUGGUAUUCCGAGGGGCAUGCCUGUUCGAGCGUCAUUUCAACC
rnacentral:rRNA from 1 species